rnacentral:rRNA from 1 species
AGUGAACGCUGGCGGUAGGCCUAACACAUGCAAGUCGAACGGCAGCACAGUAAGAGCUUGCUCUUACGGGUGGCGAGUGGCGGACGGGUGAGGAAUACAUCGGAAUCUACUUUUUCGUGGGGGAUAACGUAGGGAAACUUACGCUAAUACCGCAUACGACCUACGGGUGAAAGCAGGGGAUCUUCGGACCUUGCGCGAUUGAAUGAGCCGAUGUCGGAUUAGCUAGUUGGCGGGGUAAAGGCCCACCAAGGCGACGAUCCGUAGCUGGUCUGAGAGGAUGAUCAGCCACACUGGAACUGGGACACGGUCCAGAGUCCUACGGGAGGCAGCAGUGGGGAAUAUUGGACAAUGGGGGGGAGCCUGAUCCAGCCAUACCGCGUGGGUGAAGAAGGCCUUCGGGUUGUAAAGCCCUUUUUUUGGGAAAGAAAAGCAGCAGGUUAAGACCACGCUGUUCUGACGGUACCCAAAGAAUAAGCACCGGCUAACUUCGUG